AUGCAGUGUGAAGGUUCAUUGAAGACCGAGUACACCAAGUUUCAAGCCACUCAUGACAAGUUCUGCAUAGACAAAGCUCCACACACACAGAAUUUCAAAGAUCUUUUCUCAAAGUUUGAGGUUGAAAAGGAGAAACUGAUAGUUCAAUAUGAACUGCAAAAUUCGUUGCUCUUACUCAACUACUAA
rnacentral:rRNA from 1 species